CAAUAUAUUUAGUUUGCUUUUAAUUUACUGAUAACAACAUCAAUAUUAAUACCUAUGAAAACAAUACUGAAUGAUCUAAUCCCUGUGUUGAAUAGGUAACUUUAUAGAAUUAAUUUAUUUAAAGCUGCUUUCUGUAGAAAUAAUAGUUCAAAAACAAUGCCUAUCUUAUAUUCACAUAUGAGACAUUCCUAAACUACUAAACUACCGUGUGACAAGACAAAACAAGAAUAUUAUACCGUUUGAAAUUAUUGCAAUAGUCCAGACAUUAGAACGCAGUUGUUAAAUGAAAUUAAUUUGAACAUUUUCAAAUGUUUAUUGCAGUGAAAACGUUUCAUGGGAAAUGUUAGAUUCCUUUAAUUCAGUUUACAAAUUUCACGCCAAAAAAAAAAAUAAAUAAAAAAAUUUCAAAUUCUUAUUUUUUACAAAGCUACAGCACAUUAGUCAUUGUAAUGAGUCUAGAAUUUCCUACGUCGUAAUAAAUGACUUUACGACAGUGGAUCAGGAAAAGUCUGUACAUAAAACCGAUUAUUUUAUAUUUGAUUAAAUACUUAAACCAAUUCAAUAAAGAGUGGUUUCAAAUAUCCUUGAAUUUUCUUCAAAAUAACAAAACAACAUAUGCUUCGAGAUCUAGGGCCAACCACAUUUUUACAGCACAUAGUAUUUCCCUUAUACAGAACAUUCUAAUAACCAAUUGGGAUAGUUGUCGAAUAAAGAAACAUAAGAACAGGUCCAAUAUCAUUGAUAUUAAAAGACCCUUCCCAAAC
rnacentral:lncRNA from 1 species